rnacentral:rRNA from 1 species
UCCGGAGGAUGCAAGCGUUAUCCGGACUGAUUGGGCGUAAAGCGUCCGCAGGUGGCUGUGUAAGUCUGCUGUUAAAGAGUCUAGCUCAACUAGAUAAGAGCAGUGGAAACUACACGGCUAGAGUACGUUCGGGGCAGAGGGAAUUCCUGGUGUAGCGGUGAAAUGCGUAGAGAUCAGGAAGAACACCGGUGGCGAAGGCGCUCUGCUAGGCCGUAACUGACACUGAGGGACGAAAGCUAGGGGAGCGAAUGGG